rnacentral:rRNA from 2 species
AGAGUUUGAUCAAAACACAGAUUGAACGCUGGCGGCAUGCCUUACACAUGCCAGUCGAACGGCAGCAUGAUCUAGCUUGCUAGAUUGAUGGCGAGUGGCGAACGGGUGAGUAAUACAUCGGAACGUGCCCUGUAGUGGGGGAUAACUAGUCGAAAGAUUAGCUAAUACCGCAUACGACCUGAGGGUGAAAGUGGGGGACCGCAAGGCCUCAUGCUAUAGGAGCGGCCGAUGUCUGAUUAGCUAGUUGGUGGGGUAAAGGCCCACCAAGGCGACGAUCAGUAGCUGGUCUGAGAGGACGAUCAGCCACACUGGGACUGAGACACGGCCCAGACUCCUACGGGAGACAGCAGUGGGGAAUUUUGGACAAUGGGCGAAAGCCUGAUCCAGCAAUGCCGCGUGUGUGAAGAAGGCCUUCGGGUUGUAAAGCACUUUUGUCCGGAAAGAAAUGGCUCUGGUUAAUACCUGGGGUCGAUGACGGUACCGGAAGAAUAAGGACCGGCUAACUACGUGCCAGCAGCCGCGGUAAUACGUAGGGUCCAAGCGUUAAUCGGAAUUACUGGGCGUAAAGCGUGCGCAGGCGGUUGUGCAAGACCGAUGUGAAAUCCCCGAGCUUAACUUGGGAAUUGCAUUGGUGACUGCACGGCUAGAGUGUGUCAGAGGGGGGUAGAAUUCCACGUGUAGCAGUGAAAUGCGUAGAGAUGUGGAGGAAUACCGAUGGCGAAGGCAGCCCCCUGGGAUAACACUGACGCUCAUGCACGAAAGCGUGGGGAGCAAACAGGAUUAGAUACCCUGGUAGUCCACGCCCUAAACGAUGUCAACUAGUUGUUGGGGAUUCAUUUCCUUAGUAACGUAGCUAACGCGUGAAGUUGACCGCCUGGG